rnacentral:rRNA from 1 species
UACGUAGGUGGCAAGCGUUGUUCGGAAUUACUGGGCGUAAAGGGCGCGUAGGCGGCUCGCUAAGUCGAACGUGAAAUCCCCGAGCUCAACUCGGGAACUGCGUCCGAUACUGGUGGGCUUGAAUCCGGGAGAGGGAUGCGGAAUUCCAGGUGUAGCGGUGAAAUGCGUAGAUAUCUGGAGGAACACCGGUGGCGAAGGCGGCAUCCUGGACCGGCAUUGACGCUGAGACGCGAAAGCGUGGGGAGCGAACAGG